rnacentral:rRNA from 1 species
ACCCUUUAAUGUUUGAUGUUCUAACGUGGACCCGUGAUCCGGGUUGCGGACAGUGUCUGGUGGGUAGUUUGACUGGGGCGGUCUCCUCCUAAAGAGUAACGGAGGAGCACGAAGGUUGGCUAAUCCUGGUCGGACAUCAGGAGGUUAGUGCAAUGGCAUAAGCCAGCUUGACUGCGAGCGUGACGGCGCGAGCAGGUGCGAAAGCAGGUCAUAGUGAUCCGGUGGUUCUGAAUGGAAGGGCCAUCGCUCAACGGAUAAAAGGUACUCCGGGGAUAACAGGCUGAUACCGCCCAAGAGUUCAUAUCGACGGCGGUGUUUGGCACCUCGAUGUCGGCUCAUCACAUCCUGGGGCUGAAGUAGGUCCCAAGGGUAUGGCUGUUCGCCAUUUAAAGUGGUACGCGAGCUGGGUUUAGAACGUCGUGAGACAGUUCGGUCCCUAUCUGCCGUGGGCGCUGGAGAACUGAGGGGGGCUGCUCCUAGUACGAGAGGACCGGAGUGGACGCAUCACUGGUGUUCGGGUUGUCAUGCCAAUGGCACUGCCCGGUAGCUAAAUGCGGAAGAGAUAAGUGCUGAAAGCAUCUAAGCACGAAACUUGCCCCGAGAUGAGUUCUCCCUGAGACUUAG